rnacentral:rRNA from 1 species
UAAAGGUUUGGUCCCAGCCUUCCUAUUAGUUAUUAGCAGAAUUACACAUGCAAGUCUCCACAUCCCGGUGAAAAUGCCCUCUAAAUCCCCACAGGAUUAAAAGGAGCGGGUAUCAAGCACACCAACAAGUAGCUCAUAACGCCUUGCUUAGCCACACCCCCACGGGACACAGCAGUGAUAAAAAUUAAGCCAUGAACGAAAGUUCGACUAAGCCAUGCUAACAUCAAGAGUUGGUAAAUUUCGUGCCAGCCACCGCGGUCAUACGAUUAACCCGAAUUAAUAGGCCCACGGCGUAAAACGUGUUAAGGAUCACAUAAUACUAAAGUUAAAAUCUAACUAGGCCGUAAAAAGCUACCGUUAGUAUAAGAUAUGCCACGAAAGUGACUUUA